CUGCGAAUGGCUCAUUAUAUAAGUUAUCGUUUAUUUGAUAGCACCUUACUACUUGGAUAACCGUGGUAAUUCUAGAGCUAAUACAUGCUAAAAAUCCCGACUUCGGAAGGGAUGUAUUUAUUAGAUUAAAAACCAAUGCCCUCUGGGCUCUCUGGUGAUUCAUGAUAACUUCUCGAAUCGCAUGGCCUUGCGCCGGCGAUGGUUCAUUCAAAUUUCUUCCCUAUCAACUUUCGAUGUUUGGGUAGUGGCCAAACAUGGUUGCAACGGGUAACGGAGGGUUAGGGCUCGACCCCGGAGAAGGAGCCUGAGAAACGGCUACUACAUCCAAGGAAGGCAGCAGGCGCGCAAAUUACCCAAUCCCGACACGGGGAGGUAGUGACAAUAAAUACUGAUACAGGGCUCUUUUGGGUCUUGUAAUUGGAAUGAGUACAAUUUAAAUCCCUUAACGAGGAACAAUUGGAGGGCAAGUCUGGUGCCAGCAGCCGCGGUAAUUCCAGCUCCAAUAGCGUAUAUUAAAGUUGUUGUGGUUAAAAAGCUCGUAGUUGAACCUUGGGCCUGGCUGGCCGGUCCGCCUCACCGCGUGCACUGGUCCGGCCGGGCCUUUCCCUCUGUGGAACCCCAUGCCCUUCACUGGGUGUGGCGGGGAAACAGGACUUUUACUUUGAAAAAAUUAGAGUGCUCCAGGCAGGCCUAUGCUCGAAUACAUUAGCAUGGAAUAAUGAAAUAGGACGUGCGGUUCUAUUUUGUUGGUUUCUAGGACCGCCGUAAUGAUUAAUAGGGACAGUCGGGGGCAUCAGUAUUCAAUUGUCAGAGGUGAAAUUCUUGGAUUUAUUGAAGACUAACUACUGCGAAAGCAUUUGCCAAGGAUGUUUUCAUUAAUCAGGAACGAAAGUUAGGGGAUCGAAGACGAUCAGAUACCGUCGUAGUCUUAACCAUAAACUAUGCCGACUAGGGAUCGGACGAUGUUAUUUUUUGACUCGUUCGGCACCUUACGAGAAAUCAAAGUGCUUGGGCUCC
rnacentral:rRNA from 1 species